GCAACCCCUCGAGAGUGGCGAACGGGUGAGUAAUAUAUCGGAACGUGCCCAGUCGUGGGGGAUAACGUAGCGAAAGUUACGCUAAUACCGCAUACGAUCUACGGAUGAAAGCGGGGGACCGUAAGGCCUCGCGCGAUUGGAGCGGCCGAUAUCAGAUUAGGUAGUUGGUGGGGUAAAGGCUCACCAAGCCAACGAUCUGUAGCUGGUCUGAGAGGACGACCAGCCACACUGGAACUGAGACACGGUCCAGACUCCUACGGGAGGCAGCAGUGGGGAAUUUUGGACAAUGGACGCAAGUCUGAUCCAGCCAUUCCGCGUGCAGGAUGAAGGCCCUCGGGUUGUAAACUGCUUUUGUACGGAACGAAAAGGUCUCUAUUAAUACUGGGGGCUCAUGACGGUACCGUAAGAAUAAGCACCGGCUAACUACGUGCCAACAGCCGCGGUAAUACGUAGGGUGCAAGCGUUAAUCGGAAUUACUGGGCGUAAAGCGUGCGCAGGCGGUUAUGUAAGACAGAGGUGAAAUCCCCGGGCUCAACCUGGGAACUGCCUUUGUGACUGCAUAGCUAGAGUACGGUAGAGGGGGAUGGAAUUCCGCGUGUAGCAGUGAAAUGCGUAGAUAUGCGGAGGAACACCGAUGGCGAAGGCAAUCCCCUGGACCUGUACUGACGCUCAUGCACGAAAGCGUGGGGAGCAAACAGGA
rnacentral:rRNA from 1 species